rnacentral:rRNA from 1 species
UACGGAAGGCAGCAGUGGGGAAUAUUGCACAAUGGGCGAAAGCCUGAUGCAGCUAUGCCGCGUGUAUGAAGAAGGCCUUAGGGUUGUAAAGUACUUUCAUCGGGGAGGAAAAAACAAAACUAAUAAUUUUAUUUCUUGACGUUACCCGAAAAAGAAGCACCGGCUAACUCCGUGCCAGCAGCCGCGGUAAUACGGAGGGUGCUAGCGUUAAUCAGAAUUACUGGGCGUAAAGAGCACGUAGGUGGUUUUUUUAAGUCAGAUGUGAAAUCCCUGGGCUUAACCUGGAACUGCAUUUUGAAACUGAAAUACUAGAGUAUCGUAGAGGGAGGUAGAAUUCUAGGUGUAGCGGUGAAAUGCGUAGAUAUCUGGAGGAAUACCUGUGGCGAAAGCGGCCUCCUAAACGAAUACUGACACUGAGGGUGCGAAAGCGUGGGGAGCAAACGAGGGAUUAGAUA